AUGUAACCUAAUUGCUAUGACACUUAGUAUAUUGCAAUUAGCAUGUGUGCGGAGUAGCUGCUCUUUAGAAUUUGAUGUGCAGUUGAUAGUUAAAAUACCAGGUUUACAAAAAUUGUUCUUGAUAUUGCCUUGACACUGUUUUUAUUGUUGCCUUAGGACAAAAUAAUCUUUGUUACAUACACCAGAUCAAACCACUCUCAUCCUUCCCAGUGAGCA